rnacentral:rRNA from 1 species
GUGCCAGCCGCCGCGGUAAUACGGAGGAUCCAAGCGUUAUCCGGAUUUAUUGGGUUUAAAGGGUGCGUAGGCGGCUUAUUAAGUCAGGGGUGAAAGACGGUGGCUCAACCAUCGCAGUGCCCUUGAUACUGAUGAGCUUGAAUACACUAGAGGUAGGCGGAAUGUGACAAGUAGCGGUGAAAUGCAUAGAUAUGUCACAGAACACCGAUUGCGAAGGCAGCUUACUAUGGUGUGAUUGACGCUGAGGCACGAAAGCGUGGGGAUCAAACAGGAUUAGAUACCCGCGUAGUCC